GACGAACGCUGGCGGCGUGCCUAAUACAUGCAAGUAGAACGCUGAAGAGAGGAGCUUGCUCUUCUUGGAUGAGUUGCGAACGGGUGAGUAACGCGUAGGUAACCUGCCUUGUAGCGGGGGAUAACUAUUGGAAACGAUAGCUAAUACCGCAUAACAAUGGAUGACACAUGUCAUUUAUUUGAAAGGGGCAAUUGCUCCACUACAAGAUGGACCUGCGUUGUAUUAGCUAGUAGGUGAGGUAACGGCUCACCUAGGCGACGAUACAUAGCCGACCUGAGAGGGUGAUCGGCCACACUGGGACUGAGACACGGCCCAGACUCCUACGGGAGGCAGCAGUAGGGAAUCUUCGGCAAUGGGGGCAACCCUGACCGAGCAACGCCGCGUGAGUGAAGAAGGUUUUCGGAUCGUAAAGCUCUGUUGUAAGUCAAGAACGAGUGUGAGAGUGGAAAGUUCACACUGUGACGGCAGCUUACCAGAAAGGGACGGCUAACUACGUG
rnacentral:rRNA from 1 species